UGCGUAGGUGGCGUGGUAAGUCAGAUGUGAAAGCCCGGGGCUCAACCUCGGAAUUGCAUCCGAUACUGCCGUGCUAGAGUACUGAAGAGGUGACUAGAAUUCUCGGUGUAGCAGUGAAAUGCGUAGAUAUCGAGAGGAAUACCAACGGCGAAGGCAGGUCACUGGGCAGUUACUGACACUGAGGCACGAAGGCCAGGGGAGCAAACG
rnacentral:rRNA from 1 species